rnacentral:rRNA from 1 species
CUCAGGAUGAACGCUAGCUACAGGCUUAACACAUGCAAGUCGAGGGGCAGCAUGAAGUCAGCUUGCUGACUUUGAUGGCGACCGGCGCACGGGUGAGUAACGCGUAUCCAACCUUCCCCUUACUCAGGAAUAGCCCGUUGAAAGACGGAUUAAUGCCUGAUGUUCUCAUUUUCUGGCAUCAUGGAAUGAGCAAAGAUUCAUCGGUGUGAGAUGGGCCUGCGUCUGAUUAGCUGGUUGGUGAGGUAACGGCUCACCAAGGCGACGAUCAGUAGCCGACCUGAGAGGGUGAUCGGCCACAUUGGAACUGAGACACGGUCCAAACUCCUACGGGAGGCAGCAGUGGGGAAUAUUGGGCAAUGGGGGAAACCCUGACCCAGCAACGCCGCGUGAAGGAAGAAGGCCUUCGGGUUGUAAACUUCUUUUAGCAGGGACGAAGGACGUGACGGUACCUGCAGAAAAAGCAACGGCUAACUACGUG